GACGAACGCUGGCGGCGUGCUUAACACAUGCAAGUCGAACGGAAAGGCCCUGCUUUUGUGGGGUGCUCGAGUGGCGAACGGGUGAGUAACACGUGAGUAACCUGCCCUUGACUUUGGGAUAACUUCAGGAAACUGGGGCUAAUACCGGAUAGGAGCUCCUGCUGCAUGGUGGGGGUUGGAAAGUUUCGGCGGUUGGGGAUGGACUCGCGGCUUAUCAGCUUGUUGGUGGGGUAGUGGCUUACCAAGGCUUUGACGGGUAGCCGGCCUGGGAGGGUGACCGGCCGAAUUGGGGUCAGGAUACGGCCCAGCAUCCCACGGUGGGCAGAGGGGGGGAAGAAUGAAAAGGGGCGGGAGGCUUGCAGCGGCAACCCCGGGUGGGGGAGGACGGCCUUCGGGUGGAAAACGGUUUCCCCGUGUGAAGAAGGGGCGUUGAGGGUAAGGGUUAAAAAACCCCCGAGUAACUUGCG
rnacentral:rRNA from 1 species